GCAACCCUACGGGACGCAGCAGUGGGGGAUAUUGCACAAUGGGGGGAACCCUGGUGCAGCGACGCCGCGUGGGUGAAGGAGCGUUUUGGCGCGUAAAGCCCUAUCGGCAGGGAAGAAGGAGGACGGUACCUGACUAAGAAGCCCCGGCUAACUACGUGCCAGCAGCCGCGGUAAUACGUACGGGGCAAGCGUUAUCCGGAUUUACUGGGUGUAAAGGGGGCGCAGACGGCAGCGCAAGCCCGGAGUGAAAGCCCGGGGC
rnacentral:rRNA from 1 species